CUAAACUAUUUUCUGAUCUUCCCCUUACUUUAUUUCUUUCCCCCCCCCCCCCCUACACCGCCCGAAUCGCACCACGAGAUAAACCCCGAACAACCUCCAACACCACAAACAACGUAAGCAAUAACCCCCACCCCGCCACUAAAAACAUCCCAACCCCAUGCGAAUAAAACAAAGCCACACCACUAAAAUCCAACCGAACAGAGAACAUCCCCCCUCCAUCAACAGUCACCACCCCCAACUUCCACCCUUCAAAGAAACCCCCAACAGCAACCCCCACCGCCAACACCACAACAAAUCCCAAACCAUAGCCCAUCACACGUCAAUCACCUCAUGUCUCAGGAAACGGAUCUGCCGCCAAAGACACAGAAUACACAAACACUACCAACAUACCCCCCAAAUAAACCAUAAACAGAACAAGCGAUAUAAACGACACACCUAAACUCAACAACCACCCGCAACCAGUGACAGACGCCACCACUAACCCUACAACCCCAUAAUACGGAGAAGGAUUAGACGCCACCCCCAACCCGCCCAAAACGAAACCAAAUCCCAAAAAUAGUACAAAAUAAGUCAUAGCAGUUUCUGCUUGGCUUUUCUCCAAGAGCUGCGGCCUGAAAAGCCGCCGUUGUAGGAUUCAACUACAGAAACAAGCGAAAAACAUAGGACACAAUGCAGGGACCCGCUAUUAAGGGUUCGUUUGUUCAACGAUUAAUAGUCCUACGUGAUCUGAGUUCAGACCGGAGUAAUCCAGGUCGGUUUCUAUCUAUGUCAAACUUUUCCUAGUACGAAAGGACCGGACAAGUGAGGCCAAUGCUUCAACGCACGCCCCCUCUCUAAGUAAUGAACCCAACUAAAUUACAAAGAGACCCCCCACAACAUCUAAUCCUAGAAAAGGAUC
rnacentral:rRNA from 1 species